UGCUUGCUUUCAGGAAGCUGUAGCCAAUCAGAGGCUGCAACUCACAGAAAGCAUUCCUAACCACCUGAUUUCUGAAAAUAAUGCUCCGGUACUGAUCUGCUGGAAGUGCCUAACAGCUCUGUAGGUUGGCUCAAGCAGAGGAGACCUCAGUGCCCGUGGUGGCUGAACUACAGCAGUAAGGUGCUGCCAAAGCACUGUGCUGAGCGGAUCGUCGUAAAAUGGACUCCAUGCCCAAGCUGAAGAUUUUUGUGAUGUUGCUGUCUCUGGCUACUUUCACAGCCAUGGUGAUACUGAAUGCUGGAAAUGCCACUGGUCUUUUCAAAGGUCUGUUCCGGACAACCCCUGGCAACAUCUCAGAGAAGUACAGCACCGACUUCACACCGGCUGGCUGGACUUUCCUCAUCUGGAAUGUCAUCUAUGCCUGGCAACUGGCGUGGCUCCUGUAUGCACUGUCAGGGAUCUGCCGGAGAAAUGAACUUGGAUGUGUCUUCAUGAAGCCGGACCUGCUGCCAAUACCUUUUUACAUGGCAUGGAUUCUGAAUAAUGGCCUCAAUGUUGGAUGGCUCUUUCUAUGGGACAGAGAAUACCUCCUCCCAGCCCUGCUGUUGUUGGCAGCCCUCACUUUUACCACGGAUGCUGCUCUCUUCAUUUCACACAGAGCCUUGAGUAUCCAUUCCACAUGGUUCAUGAAGGGCCACCAAGCUGAUCUCUGGCUCAUCCGAAUCCUAGUGCAGAAUGGGCUGGCACUGUAUGCCACAUGGACCACCAUCGCCACUCUGCUGAACUUUGCUGUUGUGUUGAUCUACAAGUGGGAUGUGUCCAAUGAGACAGCAACCACUGCCUCUCUGAGCAUCCUCACCCUCAUGCUUGUCCUGUGGUUUUGUCAGGAGAACUUCUUUCUUGAUAAGUAUGUCCGUUAUAACCUCACGAUCUACCCAGUGGUUAUAAUAGCUCUGACUGGCAGCAUGUGCAAGGACUUCUCAGUUUCCUCCCCAACCACCAAUGGUGUUUUUAUAGUUGUACUGCUGGCACUGACUUGUUUUAUCUUUGCUGUUCGGCUGGCGUUAGUCAUAAGGAAGCACAGUAAUGAACUGCUGGAACCACCGACAUCACCACAGCCAUCAAGCACAGUGGCCUGAGACCUGUGGUAUGGUGAUGUUAUGACAGAAGCUUUAAAGGGAGGAGUAAGAGCUGAGCAUCCUUCCCUCCAGUAACAAUUGCCUUUUUUUGCCUUUUUCUCUUUUUUAAUAUAUCCUGGAUUAGCACAGCUUGUGCCUGCAAAUCUGUCCUUCUCCCCUAUUCUCUGAGCUCAGCUAUUUGCAGCUCCACCUCAAACAUGCAGCCUCCUCUGCUCAUUUUGUUUUGGAUCAGUGGAGGAAGAGGUCCUUUAUAUGAGUAGCUCUGUAUACCUUUGUGAUGACAGAACUGUGAGGAGGACUGUCAGCAGAUGCUUGGCACAGAGAGUUGCCCCUCACCCUUCCCUGCCCACCACAGCUCCCAGGAGAGGAGGGACGGCUGAAUACUUCUGCCACAGCUGCAGGUUUUUAGCCUAUUUCAGGUUGCUCUAACUCUAGAAACUGACAAUGUGCUCAUGUCUCAGCACACAGUAUUAUCUCUGUCCCUCUGCCUUGUUUUUCCUUCUGACUUUCUUACUGAAGUUUGUCACUGUGAUGGUGACUCCAUCAGUGGCCCCACAGUAACAGCAGACCUGCGCCCCCACCCACUCCUCCUUUCAGACGGGAGAUCUAGGUGAUGUGGGAGCAGUGGAUUGCUUUUCCUGAGCUGUGCCCAUUCGGUGGCUGCCUGCUGCAGGAGGGUGCUUUGCAGCCCUUCUGCUGGGAUAUCAGCCAUUCUGACACCACAGUACCUGAUGGAGGGCAAACCCUGCUUCACAGACCACUUCUUGUUUUCUGAGCUGCACAGACUGAUUUCAUCCUGGAUCAGUGCUUUGUAAUGUGGCUUCACCACUGCGGGCUUGCUUUGGGAAGCCUGAAUGAGAACUGACUGGAUUGUCAGACCUCUGCCUCUAUUUGCUGUGCCUGCUAGAUUUGAUGAUGCCUUGCUGGUGUCUGGAAAGUCCUCCUGGAUGCCUGGUGCUUGGAAAUGCUGAAUAUCUUGCAGUACUCUCACUAAGGUGAAUUCUAUUAAAAUACAAUGCUAUUGUUUACAUUUAAUGAAGAACAAAGUCUGUAUUAUUUGGUUCUCGUCAUUCUAUCGUAUCUUAUUUUUAAAUAAAGCAGCUACUGCCAACA
rnacentral:lncRNA from 1 species